GCCUCUAUAGCUCAGUUGGUAGAGCAUUCGUCUAGAUAACGAAGAUUCUAGAUUCUGUGCGGAGGCA
rnacentral:tRNA from 1 species